ensembl:lncRNA
GCUUGCAUUCGCGGCUGGUGUCUGUGUGGAGGAAAUUCAAUUUUUGUGUCAGUAACUGCGUGGUUGUAUGCCCUGACGCGGAAGUGGUGAGGCGGGCAUCUUUUGAGAAAUACGUGCGUGGUGGCUUUUCACGCAGGACAGUUAUACAUGCUCCGGUGUCACACAACAUGAGAUAUGGUUUCCCAUUUAUGUGGAUAGUGACUUCUGGUUUAUGUUCAGAGCCCAAAAGCAGCUGGUGAAUAUUGAAAAUUUCACUGUCACUGUCACGGUUUUGAUUUUUUGGGACUGAGCCUAGUCACAUGUCGUCAUUUUCUCUAUCACUUUCUCUGCCACGACGGUCGCGUCUGUCAUCUCUGUCUGGUCUGUCCCUGUAAUUUCUUCUAUCCUGUCUGUCCCUUCGGUCUUCUCUCUUUUUGUUUCUGCACUCCUUUGCAAAGUGUCCGUCUUUAUCACAGUUGUAGCAUCUAUUGUGCCUUUCACGAUCAUUCUUUUUGUCACCUGCUUUGUAGUUUUGCCUUCCUUUGUUCCUUUGUUGUAGAUUCUUUCCUGCAUAUGCAACUAUGCCUUCUUCUGUAGUUACUACAAAAACGCCGGUUUGUGCAGUCUUAUUUUUCUGUACUUUUACUGCAUGUUCUGCAUAUUGAAGUGCAUCGGCUAGGCUCCCGGUGUUUUGAGUGACCCAGUGUUUAUCUACAUGGGCGCGGACUUUUGGGAGAAGGCCCUUUAAGAAAGCAUUUUUGAGUUGCUGUUCAUAUGGGGUGUUGACGCCCUCAUUGUACUCUAAUCCUGAGUUUUGUCGGAAGAUUGGGCGUAAUCUGUCUAAAAAGUCAGACGCAGAUUCAUUGUCUUUUUGUUUAACUUCCCCUAUCUUUCCAUAAUCAGGCCUGGGGGCCAGUGUCACUCUUACUCUCUCGUACAGGUCAUGUAAUGUCUGGUCGAGAUUUUGGUCCCCAGCGAGGAGUAUAUGGCCGUCUUGGUCUUGACCUGUGUAAUUUCCGCGCACUCGAGCUAGUUUUAGGCCUAAAAGAUCCUGUAAAACUUGUAACAUUUCGCUGCCGUUUAAGUGCCAGUUAGUGCGGAUUAAUUCUAUAGCGUCUCGCCACUGCUGAUGUCCCUCAUUUAAGGGUGGCACGUCUUUUAACACAUUUUUUCUAUCCUCCUGAGACCAUGGACGGUAAGUGAAUAUCAGUGGGUUCAUAUCUACAGGGACUUGUCCGCCCUCUCCUGCUGGGGCUCCAGUGGGUCGCCCGUAAUUUGGGUUUGGCAGCUGGAUUAACGGAAAUUGCCCUAUUGGGCCUGGGGGCCAAGACGGGGGUUCAGGUCGGCCCCACAUGUCCCUCCCAGUCGGAUCUCUCCCUAAAUCUUCUUGCUGUUUAUGUGACGGGCCUUGAGCCAUAAGGUUUAAUUGCUGUCUAGCUGAGGCAUAAGGGUCCUGUGGUUUCAGGAAGGAAUUGUUUAGGUGGUUCGGAGGGUGCUGCUCUGUGUCUGAGGGGCUUGGAGCAGAGGGGGGGGUUUGAUAGGGAGGUGGGUUUGUAACUUGAGUUGGCUGUUUUUCACUUUGUUUGCUUUGCUUUUUAUUUCUCUUUUCUUCACGCUGUUUACUUUCCUCCUGCCAUGGCACGAAGAAUCCUACGUAUUCAGACAGGCGCAGGCCUUUCUUUUUACCGCUGCUUUUU